UGGGGAAUAUUGGGCAAUGGGCGCAAGCCUGACCCAGCAACGCCGCGUGAAGGAAGAAGGCUUUCGGGUUGUAAACUUCUUUUCUCAGGGACGAAGCAAGUGACGGUACCUGAGGAAUAAGCCACGGCUAACUACGUGCCAGCAGCCGCGGUAAUACGUAGGUGGCAAGCGUUAUCCGGAUUUACUGGGUGUAAAGGGCGUGUAGGCGGGACUGCAAGUCAGAUGUGAAAACCAUGGGCUCAACCUGUGGCCUGCAUUUGAACUGUAGUUCUUGAGUACUGGAGAGGCAGACGGAAUUCCUAGUGUAGCGGUGAAAUGCGUAGAUAUUAGGAGGGACACCAGUGGCGAAGGCGGUCUGCUGGACAGCAACUGACGCUGAGGCGCGAAAGCGUGGGGAGCAAACAGGAUUAGAUACC
rnacentral:rRNA from 1 species